GACGAACGCUGGCGGCGUGCUUAACACAUGCAAGUCGAACGGAAAGGCCUCUUUCGGGGGGUACUCGAGUGGCGAACGGGUGAGUAACACGUGAGUAACCUGCCCUUGACUUUGGGAUAACUUCAGGAAACUGGGGCUAUUACCGGAUAGGAGCUCCUGCUGCAUGGUGGGGGUUGGAAAGUUUCGGCGGUUGGGGAUGGACUCGCGGCUUAUCGGCUUGUUGGUGGGGUAGUGGCUUACCAAGGCUUUGACGGGUAGCCGGCCUGAGAGGGUGACCGGCCACAUUGGGACUGAGAUACGGCCCAGACUCCUACGGGAGGCAGCAGUGGGGAAUAUUGCACAAUAGGUGGGAAGGACCGUCGAU
rnacentral:rRNA from 1 species